rnacentral:rRNA from 1 species
UAUUGCACUAUGGGGGAAACCCUGAUGCAGCGACGCCGCGUGAGUGAAGAAGUAUUUCGGUAUGUAUAGCCCUAUCAGCAGGGAAGAAGAAAUGACGGUACCUGAGUAAGAAGCCCCGGCUAACUACGUGCCAGCAGCCGCGGUAAUACGUAGGGGGCAAGCGUUAUCCGGAAUUACUGGGUGUAAAGGGAGCGUAGACGGUGAUGUAAGUCUGGAGUGAAGGGCGGGGGCCCAACCCCCGUACUGCUCUGGAAACUAUGUGACUGGAGUGCAGGAGAGGUGAGCGGAAUUCCUAGUGUAGCGGUGAAAUGCGUAGAUAUUAGGAGGAACACCAGUGGCGAAGGCGGCUCACUGGACUGUAACUGACGUUGAGGCUCGAAAGCGUAGGGAGCAAACAGG